GCACCCGUAGUUCAAUGGAUAGAAUUGUGGUUUCCGGUACCAUCGAUAGGGGUUCGAGUCCCUUCGGGUGCACAA
rnacentral:tRNA from 2 species